UACGUAGGGGGGCAAGCGUUGUCCGGAUUCAUUGGGCGUAAAGAGCGUGUAGGCGGCCAGGUAGGUCGGUUGUGAAAACUGGAGGCUCAACCUUCAGAGGUCGACCGAAACCAUCUGGCUAGAGUCCGGGAGAGGAGAGUGGAAUUCCUGGUGUAGCGGUGAAAUGCGCAGAUAUCAGGAGGAACACCAGCGGCGAAGGCGGUGCUCUGGGCCGGAACUGACGCUGAGGAGCGAAAGGCGUGGGGAGCGAACAGG
rnacentral:rRNA from 1 species